rnacentral:lncRNA from 10 species
AAGAUCAUUUGCUGCGAAUGGAGAACAUCUCAGGCAGCCCUGAUGCUCCACCGUCCUUGCAGAGAGAAGCUUGCUCAGAGUGGUUACUGAAAACAGGAACCUGCCCUUCUGCAAGCCCUGUGCCUUCCUCGUUCCUAGCAGAGGAAGUAUGCGGCCAGUUUAGCAACUGCAGUUCUUCUGUGUAGCAUGGGCUGCUUCUCCACAACCGCGAGAAGCCCGGCUGCCUGUUUAUUCUGGAGCAGCAGCAGUUGACAGACGGAGAGGCAGUGACUCUGCACCCAGCAAUCCCUCUGCAGACAGCUCCCACAGGAGUCAUGCCCAGUGUGUGAAGCCCGGACACAGCACCUUCUGUCACGGAGACUGAACUCUGACUGGCAAGACAGAACGGGUGGGAGUGCAAGCAACAGCAGAGAAGACUGUUAGCGUAGAAGAACCCAGGCCUCUAGGACUGACUCAAACUUUCUCAUCUCAUGACCCUGGGCUCUGGGCAUCACCAGCGGCCCCAGGGAAAAAGAAAGAAAUGGGAAACAGCAUGAAAUCCACCCCUGCGCCUGCCGAGAGGC